rnacentral:lncRNA from 10 species
CAACUGGCUUCUACCGGUAGGUGACAGGGCAGUGUUCCCAGCAGUGGGACAAGAGGCACUGGCACCAGGCCAUGAGCCAUGCAUUCCUAGCUCUGCAGGGCAUGCAUGCCACGCGGACUGUGACAGUGAGCUCUUCCAGGCCCCCAGUGAGCCUGAGAGGGGGUCUGGGAAGAGUCAAGAGACACCCAGACAGUGCCAUGUGGCAGUGAAGCCUCUGGUCCCAAUCUGCCAGGGUGCAAAGCCCCAGGACUGCUGGUGGGAUGUUGGCACUACCCCGUUUUCCUUUUCCAGCUACAACAGAAUGGCAGAGAGGAAAGGACCCUCCGGGAUCUUCCAGUUCAGCCAGCCCAUUUUACAGAGGUGGAGACUGAGGCCAGAGGGAGCUCCUGAGGCUGCGGUCCUCGGCACCAGAUGGCUUUUAACAGACUAGAACACAGAGACGUGAUUUGCUGGGCCAUUUCCUGGCUCUGUGUGCAAGCUGGGCCAGCGUCUUCAUUCCCCAGGCCUCACUUUGCUCAUCCACAAAAUGGGGACAAUGGCUCCUUCCGCGCGGGGCUGUGGUGAAGGUGACAAGUGGAAGAGGCUGUGUGUGGCAGCCCCAGCCCCUAGCAGGCUCUCAAAACUACCAAUUCCUCCCCAUCCCUGCUCCCCUCUGGAGGCUGAGAGGGACUCAGGCCUGAGACAGGAAGUGCCCUCCUUCGGCAUCUUGUCAGAGGGACAGGAGUUUAGCUGUGACCAUGGCUGGGGGCUUGGAGUGGACUGCGGUGGCCUGUGCGGGAGAAGAAAUCUCAGUUUCUUGUCAUCAGGACAGCUGCUCAGGGCCCCAGCUCUGCGCCUGCCUGAGCUCGAUGAAUGGACUCUAAACCCACUCCAGGCCUUGGUCUGCCCUUUCCUCAGCUGGAUCUCUGAGACCUGCACCAGCUUUAACAACCUGUGAGCAGGGCGGGCAUCGCAAAGCCUCCAGGGCUGGGGGUGUCUACUGG